rnacentral:rRNA from 1 species
UUGGAANUGGGGGAACCCUGAUCCAGCGACGCCGCGUGUGUGAAGAAGGCCUGCGGGUUGUAAAGCACUUUUAGUGGGGAUGAAAAGCUCAGGGCUAACACCUCUGAGUCUUGACCUAACCCACAGAAAAAGCACCGGCUAACUCUGUGCCAGCAGCCGCGGUAAUACAGAGGGUGCAAGCGUUAAUCGGAAUUACUGGGCGUAAAGCGUGCGUAGACGGUUAUGUAAGUCGGGUGUGAAAGCCCCGGGCUCAACCUGGGAAUGCCAUUCGAGACUGCAUAGCUAGGGUGCGGAAGAGGGAAGCGGAAUUUCCGGUGUAGCGGUGAAAUGCGUAGAUAUCGGAAGGAACACCAGUGGCGAAAGCGGCUUCCUGGUCCAGCACCGACGUUCAGGCACGAAAGCGUGGGGAGCAAACAGGAUUAGAUACCCUGGUAGUCCACGCCAUAAACGAUGAGAACUAGACGUUGAGAGGGUAAGCCUCGCAGUGUCGUAGCUAACGCGCUAAGUUCUCCGCCUGGGGAGUACGGCCGCAAGGUUGAAACUCAAAAAAAUUGACGGA